rnacentral:rRNA from 1 species
AUUGAACGCUGGCGGAAUGCUUUACACAUGCAAGUCGAACGGCAGCACGGACUUCGGUCUGGUGGCGAGUGGCGAACGGGUGAGUAAUGUAACGGAACGUGCCCAGUCGUGGGGGAUAACGUAGUGAAAAUUACGCUAAUACCGCAUACGAUCUAUGGAUGAAAGCGGGGGAUCGCAAGACCUCGCGCGAUUGGAGCGGCCGAUAUCAGAUUAGGUAGUUGGUGGGGUAAAGGCCCACCAAGCCAACGAUCUGUAGCUGGUCUGAGAGGACGACCAGCCACACUGGAACUGAGACACGGUCCAGACUGCUACGGGAGGCAGCAGUGGGGAAUUUUGGACAAUGGGCGAAAGCCUGAUCCAGCCAUUCCGCGUGCAGGAUGAAGGCCCUCGGGUUGUAAACUGCUUUUGUACAGAACGAAAAGGUUUCUACUAAUACUAGGAGCUCAUGACGGUACUGUAAGAAUAAGCACCGGCUAACUACGUGCCAGCAGCCGCGGUAA